CCUACGGGUGGCUGCAGUGAGGAAUAUUGGUCAAUGGGCGCGAGCCUGAACCAGCCAAGUCGCGUGAGGGAUGAAGGUUCUAUGGAUCGUAAACCUCUUUUAUAAGGGAAUAAAGUGUGGGACGUGUCCUAUUUUGUAUGUACCUUAUGAGUAAGAAUCGGCUAACUCCGUGCCAGCAGCCGCGGUAAUACGGAGGGUCCGAGCGUUAUCCGGAUUUAUUGGGUUUAAAGGGUGCGUAGGCGGCCUUUUAAGUCAGCGGUGAAAGUCUGUGGCUCAACCAUAGAACUGCCGUUGAAACUGGGGGGCUAGAGUAUGUUUGAGGCAGGCGGAAGUCGAGGUGUAGCGGUGAAAUGCUUAGAGAUCACGAAGAAUACCGAUUGCGAAGGCAGCCUGC
rnacentral:rRNA from 1 species